rnacentral:rRNA from 1 species
AUUGAACGCUGGCGGCAUGCUUUACACAUGCAAGUCGAACGGCAGCGCGGGCUUCGGCCUGGCGGCGAGUGGCGAACGGGUGAGUAAUGCAUCGGAACGUGCCCAGUAGUGGGGGAUAGCCCGGCGAAAGCCGGAUUAAUACCGCAUACGACCUGAGGGUGAAAGCGGGGGACCGAAAGGCCUCGCGCUAUUGGAGCGGCCGAUGUCGGAUUAGCUAGUUGGUGGGGUAAAGGCUUACCAAGGCGACGAUCCGUAUCUGGUCUGAGAGGACGACCAGCCACACUGGGACUGAGACACGGCCCAGACUCCUACGGGAGGCAGCAGUGGGGAAUUUUGGACAAUGGGGGCAACCCUGAUCCAGCCAUGCCGCGUGCGGGAAGAAGGCCUUCGGGUUGUAAACCGCUUUUGUUCGGGAAGAAAUCCUCUGGGCUAAUACCCCGGGGGGAUGACGGUACCGGAAGAAUAAGCACCGGCUAACUACGUG